rnacentral:rRNA from 1 species
AUUGAACGCUGGCGGCAGGCUUAACACAUGCAAGUCGAGCGGUAACAGAGAGAAGCUUGCUUCUCUGCUGACGAGCGGCGGACGGGUGAGUAAUGCCUAGGAAUCUGCCUAGUAGUGGGGGAUAACUUGCCGAAAGGUAAGCUAAUACCGCAUACGUCCUACGGGAGAAAGCAGGGGACUCUUCGGAGCCUUGCGCUAUUAGAUGAGCCUAGGUCGGAUUAGUUAGUUGGUGAGGUAAUGGCUCACCAAGACUGCGAUCCGUAACUGGUCUGAGAGGAUGAUCAGUCACACUGGAACUGAGACACGGUCCAG